rnacentral:rRNA from 1 species
ACGGUGAGGGAUGAAAGCUGGGGGAGCAAACCGGAUUAGAUACCCGGGUAGUCCCAGCUGUAAACGAUGCAGACUCGGUGAUGGGCUGGCUUCGAGCUAGCCCAGUGCCGCAGGAAAGCCGUUAAGUCUGCCGCCUGGGGAGUACGGUCGCAAGACCGAAACMUAAAAGAARAGGCGGGGGAACAACACAAGGGGSGAAGACUGCKGUUCAUUGAGA